rnacentral:rRNA from 1 species
GACGAACGCUGGCGGCGUGCUUAACACAUGCAAGUCGAACGGAAAGGCCCUGCUUGCCGGGUACUCGAGUGGCGAACGGGUGAGUAACACGUGGGUGAUCUGCCCUGCACUUCGGGUUAAGCCAGUGAAACUGGGUGUAGUACCGGACAGGAGCUAUUUUGAGUGUGAUGGUUGGAAAGUUUUUGCGGUGUAGGGUGAGCUCGCGGCCUAUCAGCUUGUUGGUGGGGUAAUGGACUACCAAGGCGGCGGCGGGUAGCCGGCCUGUGGAGGUGGACGGCCACACUGGGUCCGAGAUGCGGCCCAGACACCGACGGGAGGCAGAAGGGGGGAAGAUUGCACGAGCGGCGCCGGCCGGAUGCAGCGACGCCGCGGGGCGGAAGACGGCCUUAGGGUUGAAAAACCCAUUCGCAAGGGACGAAGCUUUUUGUGACGGUACCUAGAUAAGAAGCACCGGCUAACUACGUG